GAUGAAGAACGCAGCGAAAUGCGAUAAGUAAUGUGAAUUGCAGAAUUCAGUGAAUCAUCGAAUCUUUGAACGCACAUUGCGCCCCUUGGUAUUCCGAGGGGCAUGCCUGUCCGAGCGUCAUUGCCGCCCUCAAGCACGGCUUGUGUGUUGGGCCCCCGCCCCCCGGCUUCGGGGGGCGGGCCCGAAAGGCAGCGGCGGCACCGCGUCCGGUCCUCGAGCGUAUGGGGCUUCGUCACCCGCUCUGUAGGCCCGGCCGGCGCCCGCCGGCGACCCCAAUCAAUCUUUCCAGGUUGACCUCGGAUCAGGUAGGGAUACCCGCUGAACUUAAGCAUAUCAAUAAGCGGAGGA
rnacentral:misc_RNA from 1 species